rnacentral:rRNA from 1 species
AUUGAACGCUGGCGGCGUGCCUAACACAUGCAAGUCGAGCGGUAACAGGUGUAGCAAUACAUGCUGACGAGCGGCGGACGGGUGAGUAACGCUUGGGAAUCUGCCUAUUAGUGGGGGACAACCCGGGGAAACUCGGGCUAAUACCGCAUACGCUCUACGGAGGAAAGCCGGGGACCGCAAGGCCUGGCGCUAAUAGAUGAGCCCAAGUCGGAUUAGCUAGUUGGUAGGGUAAGGCCUACCAAGGCGACGAUCCGUAACUGGUCUGAGAGGACGACCAGUCACACCGGAACUGAGACACGGUCCGGACUCCUACGGGAGGCAGCAGUGGGGAAUAUUGGACAAUGGGCGAAAGCCUGAUCCAGCGACGCCGCGUGGGUGAAGAAGGCCUGCGGGUUGUAAGCCCUUUCAGUGGGAAGAAAAGCCUCGACCUAACACGUCGGGGUCUUGACGUAACCAUAGAACCGAAGCACCGGCUAACUCUGUGCCAG